GGAAGAUGGAUUUUCGGGUCCACUAGACAGUCAAGGAUCCACAGAUGCAAGUACAAGACUACAGAGUCCGGUCUAUAACAAAAUACCCAAGCCCAGAGACUCCAUAGCGAAGUUCUAAUGGGCAAAUUCAUGUCAAUGCACACGUACACCGACAAUAUUAUGAAUAUGUCGUAAGCGGUAUGUCGAAUAUGGUUCAAAUUCGAGGAUUCUAUUCAAAAACAAAAAUGCAGAUUAAUUCUUAAUAAAAGAACACCCAGGUUUUGAGAGUCUGCAUAUGCGCUCUCUACCCUCUAAUUUGGUUAUGAAGUCAACCUGGUUGCGUCCGAAUAUUACUCCAGAUCACGAAUUAAGAUAUACAGGAUGCCGAACGACAGCCUGUUAUCAGUAUUUCUGUGAAGUCGAAAGUUUCCAGGUUCCCAAAUUAACUUAUGGCGCUGAAAUGGUUACGGUGGCGAAAUUCUUAACUAAUUUUGUAUAAUUACGACUAUCAAGUAUCAUAAUAAACAUAAUCACAUAAGUAAAAUCAUGAGUAAAAUAUUAAUUAUUAAGAUGGUAUACAAGACAUAUUUCUCAACAAAUGAAUAAUAUUAUAAUAGGUACAAUAAAAGUUUUCUUUGAUAUAAUAAUAAUUCAUUUGAUAGUGCUUUUUGUUUUGUGAUUAGUCAUGUAUGCAUAUUGUCUCAUCCUCAUUGCAAUAUAUGAUGUAAAUAUAAAUUCAACCAUAUCUUCUUUGUGGAUUGCACACGGAAAAGGAACCAGGUAAUUAUUAUUAAAAAAUUCUUCAACUGUGUCGUCAAACACAUUUUGACUGUCUUUGUGUUUGACAAAACACUUCUCAA